UGAGGUGGAUGGUUAGGUAGGUGGAGAGAGUGGCGUGGACAGCUGAGUGGUACUGGAGAGGGUGGCGCUAGAGGACUUAGGAUGGGCAUGAGAUAGAACAGCGUAGAGCAGAGUGGCGCUGAAGGACGAGGGGCAGAUGGGAAGGUGUAGGGCAGAGUGGCGCUGGUGCCUGCUGGUGCAGGGUGUUGGCGCCGCGCCGAGCUAAUAUUAUUGUGUCAUUUUUAGCCGGGUGGCGUUGGCAGCGGUGCCAGGGCCAGCGAGGCGGCAGCAGGAGGAGGCGCAGCUCCGGGCGGCCAGACGUGCCCAGUAGUGUGUUACCCGGAGCCACGUGUGCGCUACACGAGCAGUGAUCGUCGCCCCUUGCCUGGGAUGUGCUGGUGCAGGUGUAGUGUAAACAGCAAAGUCAGCAACAGUGAGCAGUGGCCGGUGGGAGUGCGCGUGGGCGGUUAGUGCGCCAGUGCAUUGGUGUGAAGUGUGAGCUGUGGCCUGGUCGAGCACCGGUGAUGGCGUGGCCCAGGUGCCCCGGCUAUUAUGGUUGAGAAUGUCCGCGGCCAGUGCGGGCGUGCGGCAGUGACCAGGGUGGCCAGCAGUCGAGUGGAGUUGCGUGCUUGCCGUGUGCUUGCCUGUCGAGGUGUACAUGUGGUGGGCGUCAAUCCCUGCGCCGCGCCCGCCCCCUGUCCCGCCCACUAUGGACUCUGUGUCCCUGUGGUUGUGACUCUCACCGACGCAACCAAUGGACUGGGAACUGUUCAGCCCGAUGAGGAAGCAAUCUUGAAAAUAGUGGAAGCGAACCGUAAGAAAGUUGCAGCAAAGAGAGCAGCAAAGUCAGCAAACCAGGAAGACAGAACUGUGCCAGAGUUGGUGGACGUCCCGCCAACCUCACCGCCGGCCACCGUUGUCGCCGCUCAGCCUAAGUCAGAGAGUCUGCCCUCGGGGGUGGAUGUAGAAGGCAUCGUGGAGGCCGUGGAGCGGUGGGUUCGCGGGCCGGGAGAGGAGGAGCAGGUCGAGAGUGCCCAACAAAAGGAGGCUCGUCAGUACAAGGAGUUGGUGGGCACACUGGCCGAGCUGGCUGCAGAGAAGCGGGCAGGGCGCGUGGCCCCUGGCCCGGAGCCGCCCACAGGCGCGCCACGUCAUCAUGACACAGUCCAACUGUUUUCUGAGCUCAUGCAGACCGACGACGUCUCAACCAUAGCGGCUCACAUCGCUAACAAAGCUGAACUGAUUUACCAAACUUGGAAGAGGACUGGACUUAACCCCACCGAGCUUAUUCAAUACCACACCCCUCUACCCAGGGGAGAGCAAGCAUCCGACGGGGAAUCCAGCCCCAGUGGGCCACCUUCAGCCACAGCCAAGCCUCGCACGCCCGUGAGGAACAUCAGCCCUGCGCCUCCCGGCUCCUCGCCUGCUGUAUCAAGGAAGUUCAUUGAACCGGCGUUGCACAACGGGCGGCCACACGCCACCUCCCCAGUACGCACCCUCAACGCCUCUCCUCGACCUUACAUCCCGCCGGGCACGUCACCACACUCACCUAGCGCACAGCCCCAGUCCCCGCCGGUGUUUCCCAGCAGCAACGGUGGCUCGUCUCCACAUCAAUCUCCACGCCUGCUGUACUCUUCCCCUGCCUCCCCCUCCCUCCCUCAGACGCAAGGUAACACUCGGCCGUACGCGACAUCGGCCUCACCCCAGUCUCCCCGUGGUUCUCUCACUCAACCACCUCCGCCCCCUGAGCGGUCGUCCUCAUACCCAGGAGUUGACUCGACACAGCAGCAGCAGGAAGGCCCUUACGAUAUCCUGGUGGACCCUAAUCUCGAGACCUCCCUCCAGGAGUUAGUCAAUUCUUUUGUGUUAGAGGACAAGGCGCGUCAUCACGCCGCUGCCGUCGCCGCCCUGGCGUCACAACGCCCCAAAGGUGCGACCUCAUCCAUCCAGGAGGCGCUACAGAAGUUUGAGAGGCAGAUGGUUAUCACCUCUCGCUCUGUAGCUCACUCACAGGAGCAGGCUGGCAGCCCCCCGCCCCCUCUAGGCACCAUGGGGCGCUUCGCCCAGAUGCAGAUGCAACAACAGCAACUGCAACAACAGCAACUGCAGCAGCAGCUUAGCCCCAGCAUAGGAGGCAACAGCAUAAGCAUGAGCAGCAGUAGCUCCAGUAGCAGCGUCACCAUCAAUACCAGUGGGCGGCGUUAUGGAGGCACGAGGAGCGACUCUGCUAUCUCGACAGAGUGGUCGCGAAUGCAGGCAGAACACGACAACCGAAGUCGUCGGUCAGCUUCCCCGAACCCGCCGGUGUCACAGCCUGGCUGGAACGAGACAAGUCCACCCAACACUUCCACGUGGCCAUUGAAAAACAAGCAGCCGAUGGUUGUGGAGAGAAAGUCUUCCAAGCACAGCGCCUCUUCUUCUGGCAUGUCGUCCUCGGCAUCGUCAUCUUCGUUCUCCUCCUCCAGCAGUAGCAUGAGCAGCAGCAACGUCACCACGUCCACUAACUACAUCACGACGCUGGAGGCGCGUGUGGAGAGCUCCGGCCAGAAAUCUCUGGGCGUGCCACUGCGACACAAGGUUGUGGCGAUGUCUGCUGUGGACCAGGAGGAGGAGCGCCUCAUGCACGCUCUCCGCACCGGUACUCUUAUCGACGAUGGGGAACAUCUCCGGCCUCUCAGUCAGUCCAGGCCCAUCCCGACACCCUCCCUGGUCAGCCCACCUCACACGUCACCUGUCAACAGUACCAUCAUCACCGGCUCUCCCCCCAGCUCUGAGGCUGCCCCACUCUCUCCUAAUUCCAGGAAGGCCAAGUACUCCAUUAGUGUCACCGUGGACGUGGACAAACCCAUCGAAGUGAUCCACCAGGGGACUCACCAGCAGCAUCACAUUCAAAACCCGCAGCAAAUUCAACACCAUAUUCAUCACCAACAACAGCAACAACUACAGCAUCAGCUGCAGCAACAACUACAGUUACAGCAGCAACAGCAGCAGCAGCAUCUGCAACAACAGCAACAACAGCUUCAGCAUCACCAGCAAGUCACAAAGCUGGGGAGCACCAGGUCCAUCAAGCUUGGCAAAGAAACAGAAAUGUCGAUGGUGGACUCUGCGAAGCUUCGCUACCAAGAGUCCUUGCAACACCCACACUCUUUGCAGCGACUCGAUGACCAUCGUAGCAUGUCCACGAAGCAGAUAGUGAAUGGGGACGGCCACGUUAUGAAGCAGAGAACUCGCUUCGAGAACGGUAACGCCGCCCUUCCUGACAGCAUCUCGCGCGGCGCGCUGGGCAUUCAGGCUGAUGAAGUGGGCUCAACACUGCCGGAGUUCUACCGCCGGAAGCUGCGAAAGAUGAGGAAAGCUGGAUCCCCCGAACCGUCCGUUGUGGGCAGCAUCUCGGCGCUGCCUCACCCCGAACUGACCGACCAGCAGAAGGCACACAUCAGGGAGCGCUCCCAGUCCCCCACUGCUGGGUACAACAGUGCCGGGGUGGCCAUCAGGCCCUUCCUUACUCAGGGCAGUGUGGCCGAGAGGGUGCUCAUUUUUGAGCGAGCCCCAGCAGAAAUGAAGCCCAAACCUGGGGCCCCGCCCACUGCCGCCCCGGCCCCUGAGAAGCGACGGCUCGCCCUCUCCACAUGGCGGGAGCCCAACGAGGUGCGCUCCAUGGCCCAGGACGGCCUGCAAGCCAUCCCGUCACCCACCUCCCCGCCCUCGCCCGCCCGCCAGACAGAGCCGCCCGCCACAGCAGAACAGGAAACCAAACCUCUGGUAAGCGAGAGUCGUCACUUCCGCCCGCCACCAGAUUCAACUUACGUACGAGAGAGCAGUGCAGCGCAGAAAGAGAAUGCUCGGCCUCUACCUUCCUCGGGGAGCACCUCACCUGUGUCCCCUCUUUCCCAAACCACUACCAUCUCCUCCCUUGCUCCUACCAGCCCCACUCCCACCCCUGCACCCCUUACCACAACCCUCCAGCAGAAUGCCCACCCUACUUCCCCUGCCUCCCCAGUGGGUCCCCCUGGGUCUACAGCCUCCCCCUUGCACUCUACAAGGGUCCCCAACACCUUACGCCGUCACACCAAGUCCACCAAGAACCUCCUUAUACCCAGAUUCUACUACCCAAUGGGGCGGCCAACCACCCCGGCAAAUCAGGAACAGGCACUUUCCCGGGUGUCAGCAGUGUUCCGGGAGCAGAAUGGCCAGGUGAUGCGGGACAACAUGGACCCACUCAUGCGUGCCUGUGGCCUCCCACUCUACUGGAAGGCCCCGCUGUUUAUCGCCGCUGGCGGGGAUAAGCUUGGCUACCUCACACAGGAACAAUUUUCAGAUUACUGGAGCAGAGUAAUCUCAACCUGCCAUGACACGGCGUCCCGAUUCGUACGCGUGCUGACCCGUGGUAUGCGGAACUACCUCCUGCCUGAAGACUUCCUCAGCAUGAUCCAGGACGUUGUGGACACACACCCAGGACUCACCUUCCUCAAGGAGGCCACUGAGUUUCACUCUAGAUACGUGCACACAGUCAUAGCAAGAAUAUAUUAUUGUGUAAAUAGAUCCUGGUCAGGUAGAAUAACUCUACCAGAACUUAGGAGAUCCAACUUAUUACAGGUAAUUAGUAUCUUAGAGGAAGAAGAGGAUAUUAACCAAAUCACAGAUUACUUCAGUUAUGAACACUUUUAUGUCAUUUACUGCAAGUUUUGGGAGCUGGAUACUGACCAUGACUUGUUUAUAGACAAGCAUGAUCUGGCCAAGCACAACGAGCGGGCUCUCUCUUGGCGCAUGAUUGAACGGAUAUUCAGUGGAGCAGUGACAAGGGGACGCCUCCAGAAGCAAGACCGCAUGGGCUACCAAGAGUUUGUGUGGUUCCUCAUUUCUGAAGAAGACAAGCGCCACCCAACGGCCAUAGAAUAUUGGUUCAGGUGCAUGGACCUUGAUGGGGAUGGCUACCUGUCCAUGUAUGAACUAGAGUACUUCUAUGAGGAGCAGCUGCAGCGCAUGGAGGCUUUGGGGAUAGAGACCCUGCCUUUCCAUGAUUGCCUUUGUCAGAUGCUGGACAUGGUUCGACCAGAGGAGGACGACAAGAUAUCACUCAGGGACUUGAAGAAAUGUCGAAUGACUCCUAUUUUCUUUGAUACUUUCUUCAACUUGGAGAAGUAUCUUGACCACGAACAGCGAGAUCCCUUCGCAUCCCACAGGGCAGAGGAAGAUGGAUCUGAGGUGUCAGAUUGGAAUCGGUAUGCUGCUGAGGAAUAUGAGCUGCUGGUGGCUGAGGAAGGUGGUGCUGAACACCAGGAUGACAUGUUCAUCUUGGAUGGGGACUUAGAUGAUGAUGAUGAUGGUGGAGGAGGUAGUGGAGAAAGCUAAAGUGCACUGUGCACCUUGCAGGAUUGUGGAGGAGAGUCUUUGAAGCAAGUGUCCAUUACACAGGUUUUAUGGAGAAGAGGAUGAGUUAUCAAUGGGGUGUGAGGACGCCCUGGACUCCACUCCAGGUGGUGGCCGAGGCAGCCUGGGAGGUGUAGGUAGUGGUGGUGCUCUCAACAAGCACUCACCACUUUCAGCUACUGUCACCAAUCUGGCAGCUGACCCCAUGGAUGUGGAUGAUGACUACCCAGAUUAUGCUGACUCGGAUGACUACCAGUACUGAGGUCCCUCAGAUGUUGAUAUGUAACUCAGUGUUAUAAAUUGAGAAUUGUGGUUUCAUAUGUUCAAAGGUGUACCAGGAGUAUUUUUCCUAAUACUAAAUAAUGUUGUUGUACCCUGAACACUGUUGCUUAGUGACUUUGAUGAAGAGUUUGAGGCAGAGCUUUAAAGCAUGUUCUUAAUAUGAUAAUGCAUGCAACAGUGAAUUACUCACAAAAACAAGAGGGAUUUAGUAUCUUAGGGAGAGAUCAGUAACUAGUCUUCAGAUUCAUAAAUCUGUGAUAAUUUUGGCACAUUCUGUAUUUGACUAAGAUCUUAGAAUAUAUGCAGGAAUUCCUUAUUAAUAGCAAAUGAAAUUUGGUCUUCAUAAUACUCUACUGCACAUUUUAAAUUAAGUAUUUGUGUAUCAGGUGUUAAUGUUACUGAAUUUUAUUUGAAAUAUUAUGACUCAAAAAUUACAGGUAAAAAGUUAGUUGCUAACAGAAGUAUCUACUCCCAUUUUAUGAGUAUCAUGUCAACUACAUGAGGAAGGAAAGAAGAAAAAAAUAAAUAAAUUUUUAAAAAAUCUUCAGUUCUUGUUCAUGUGGUUGUCAUAUAUUUUAUUACAUUUACUUUUGAGAUACUUUAUGAUCAUCUGCCAGGACAUGAUAUUCUGAAAAGGAACCCUCUAAGAGCACUGUCCUUCCUGACCUACCAAGAAGCUGCUUAGGCAUACGAUGUGGUGCUCAGCUCCAGAUGAGACUGUUGAACAAGUAGCACCAUAAAUAGACUCCUUUCCUUCUCUUUGUUCAGCAUCUGAAUGUCAGAAACCUUGAACCAAAGACUUGCUGAAUAGUGAACUAAUAAAUGGAACAGUCAUUAUUUAUUGCUGAAUGCAUGAAUAAACUGUUGUUUUGCGCUAUUUACAAGGUUCUGUAUGUACGUAGAUGUGUGUUUAACCUUGAAACGAGACAAUAGCAUAUAAUGAAAUGUGUACAUGUGCAAAAGUUGACAUCAACAAAUACAAGUAUUGAGAUAUGCCUACCAAGUACUCUUUGGCAGGAUAUGAUACUUAUCCCCAGAUCUGUGAUGUACCAUCAGUAGUGCAGUGUUAAUGCCAAUGUCAGUGUAAUAUAAAUCUCCAGCAAGUUUCCAGUGCUUGUGUAUAAAACUUUUAUAGGGAAUGUGAAUAUGGAAAUAUUUGUAUGAACUUCAUUAAAUGAGGAAAAUUCAGUGCUUUAAUUGAACUGCCUUAUGGAAGUGAUUUCCAUAGACAUGUGAUGAGGUAUCCUUCCUGAUGUCACUUACCUCAUAAUUUUUGUCUUCCUUACCUGCAUAAUUCAAAUCCCUCCAUGAAGUGCCUCCCUUUCUCCCUGACAAUUUAAAGUGAAUUCUGAUAGUGUGUGGCUGUGGUGUUAUUGGCUGCAUCUUGCUUUCCCCAACUACCCCAUCACCUAGGUGCCAAGAAUAUUGCAAUAGUUGAUUCUUUCCUUUCAUACUUUUAAAAAUUUUUUCUUUUCAUGCCUUGUAAAAACAUUGCUUUAGUUUUUUUCAGGCUACAAGUUCAUUUUCUCAGUGAGCUACAAUUUUUCUGCUUUUGUAUUUUCAAGUAAUGUGAUCAAUUUCCUGCUGAGAUACACUUUCCCGUCAUGCCUGAUGCAGAUGCCGAUUCACCUGGGCCAGUUGAGUGGAUGCACUGACCCACCCUGUGUACGUGGAGUUGACAGCUCUGGUAGUUGGAUUAUGGCCUAAAAUAAAUUGUGCUGCAGGUAUCCUUCUUUCUGCCCGGUGCAGAAAGAAACCAUUGUUAAGGUGUUUCACUUGAAAUUUUCUUACAAAUAUGUAGAAUAUAAAUAUAUGAAUAAUUAAUCAUGGAUACAUUUUUCUGUGACGCUUUUUUAUAGUUUUUUUGUUUUGACAACAGAAGGUAGGGAUGAAACCUAUCCAUCUCUGAAUUAUGUACUGAUUGAUGCUUAUGAUAUUGUUCUGUAUAUUGUUUUUAUAUCUGACUCAAAUCCUUUUAAAAUGUUACAUAUAAUGAGUGUCUUCUAGUAGCAAUAUUUAAGAGAAUGACUGACCUGAUGUUACAUUUUUGUGUGGACAAAUACAGCUAUAUACUCCAAAAUGUUAUUUGUUCAGUGUACACUGAUAACCAUGUAGAACAUGCAAACAUCCCAAAUUUAUAUAUGUAUCCAACUGAAUGAAAACAGACUACUUCAAUUUUGUUAGAUGUAUUAUGAUAUAUUGUUGCAAUAUUUUUUAUUAAUAUGCAGCUUUUUCCUUUAAAGAUACUUACAUAUUAAAAAUCUCAUUAUGAAAUAUUUAGGUAUUUAGCAAACUGCAGUAUGUCAUGCAUCUGUAGAAGGGUUAUUUCACCUUUAGUAAGAUCCAUGUGCCUGUCAUGCCCCAAGUCCAUCAAGCAGAAACCCAGUGUUUAUCCCUAUGACAAUGUUCAGACUUAGAAUACAUACCCAAAUUAUGUAUAGAAAGUUUAAUUUUUUCACAUGUCACAGAAUCCAGCAUGUUAGUGUAGAACUCCCUAUGAUAGUGUUGACCAGCAUUACCAGCUGUUACACUCCAGACUAGUCAGGACAUCAAGCUAUCAUCUCCUUGAUAUGUCGCAUUUCCCUCAGCCAAUCCCAGUGUCACGUCAUCAGCGAAGGAAUUCGUUCUCCACAGUUAUUAUGACCCCAGUGUUUUGUGAAAUGAGAAACUGUAAGUGGUGUCGGUAUCACUUUGUUCGUUCGUAUGUUUAUUGUAUUUGUAAUAUGUUGUAUAAAGGAGUUAACAUUCAUUUUGGAUAAUA